rnacentral:lncRNA from 1 species
AAGGGAUUGAUUUUAUUAUUUACACUGAAUUAGAAACACAACCAUUUCUUCCCUUCAACUAUAACCAGAGAGCAUAUUUUACAGAGGAAAUUUGAGCUGAACAUCCCAGAAGAUCAACUAGCAGCAUAUGGAGAUAAGCCUGGACAGGAGCUCUAGGCUUUACUCCACAUUCACACUCUCCAGAGAGGACACACUCAACAACACAAGUGGAACUGCAUAUGCCAUGAGUCUUAAUAAAUAAAAGUCUGUCCUCCACACCUGCAAUGGGCUUCCAAGAAAAGAAAGGUGAUGGUGUCUACUAAAAAACUUCAGCGAGUUCACCGGGACUCUCAUGGAGCACAUAGUGGUCUAACCUCGUUUGAGAUGAUUUUUGGUUUCUCCUGGAUCUCUGGAUACAAUCAGUAAAGAAGGGUCAGCAGAAUAAAAGGACAGUGAGCUAGGGCCUAAAGACCCUAAGCAAAGAAAAAGACAUUGGAGGUGGGAGAUGCACUGGAUGGAAAAGCUGCUCAAGAUGGACGGCACUUCAGAAAGGGAAGGAGGCAAUUCCCAACAAAAAUGCUAACUGCCUGGGCCCAGGAAGCCAUGUUUAAGUCCUAAGUGUGUUUAGACCAGAGAGCCUCCAUGUCUUUUGUUUCACUUGUGUCCAUAGUCUUUUUUUCAGUUUUCCAAGAAAUGCUACUUGAAACUAUAAAAAUAAUUCAAAUAUUUUAAGCUAAAUAUAUUCUCCUUGCUUUAGUUUCUCUUUUUUCUUAAUUUUUUGUGCCUGGAAGAAUAUAAUUAGUUCAACAUGGUUGCUUAGAGAGACAUUUUCCAGGUCCAAGAAGGCAUACUAUUAGACAUUUAUUCAAAAAUGGGCUCAGGGAAUAAGAAUCUCAAGUAAAUAAUUCAUUAUAUUUGAAAUAAAUGCAACUACAUUAUUGUACUCUUCUAAAAAAUACAAAUAAAUGCUCUUUUUGCAAAAUAUUUGUAGCAUCUGAUAUUUGUGGAAUAUUCUUAAC